rnacentral:lncRNA from 1 species
AUGCUGGUGGAUCCGGGCGUGGAUACCAGCGUGGGCCCUGCCCAGCUGGGUGAGGGGGCCUCAGUCUCCCCGUCUGGCCUGGUGCCGGGUCCUCUGGGACCCUGGGACGCAGCCUCAGUGUGGAGCCUGCCUCCCUUCACCCAUGCACCUGGACCAGCGUCCCCGUUUCUGCUCACACACAGCUCUGCAGGGCCGCCCGCGCAGCAGCCAGGAAGCAGACAUCUGCUCUUUCCCAGGCCCCCGGAGCAGGGGGUGUGGGGGGCGCUGGCCAUCCCCCUUUCCCGCCUGGCUCUGCCGCCCCACAUGCACGAGUGUGAAUGGCCUGAGAACACCAGCCCGGGGUGCCCAGAUCAGCUGCUGCCCACUUUGGGGACACCCAUGCCCACCACCCCGCCCCUGUGCUUCCGGGCUGUUCCCUGGGGGCAGGAUCAGGCUGUCCAGAUGGAGGCACGGCCAGGACCUGGGCGGUCACCUCUGAGAGGAGCGGGGGAGCUGGCCAGGUGGGCCCGGCCCUCUGCAGGCGGCAGUGACUCAGCCAACCCAGGUCCCUGGACAGCAUCCUGGCCAUUUUACAGAUGCGAAAACCAAGUCCAGGGUGGGCCUGGCCCUUGGUGCCUGGCAAGGAACAGCAUGCAGCAUCUUGUGCCCAACACUGAGGAUCCUGCUCGCCCGGUCCAGUCGGGCUGCUGGCACCGGCCACGUGGGUCGGGAGGCCCAGGAGUGCUGAGUGGGGCCCUGGAAGGCGGUGACCCUCCCGCUCAGCGUCACCCAGUGAGCCAGCCGAGGAGGUGGCAGUGGGCAGGGGCCCGCCCUUUCUGGCAGUGGCGGGCCUGCUUUGCAGCUGGCAUCCACGGAUCUGUUGGCAGAUUAGGGGGUGGGGUGGCAUCAACCUGCUUAUCCCUGGGUGAAGAUAGGAGUCAGGGCCCAGGGGUCCUGAGGUCCGUGCCCAAGGGACAUGGCUGGUCCGCAGCAGAGCCUGGUCUCAGCUGGAACCUGAGCUGUCCCCUGCCCCCAGGCCCUGGCCACAGCCCCUGGUGGUGCCAGGCUCUGGAGGCUGGGCCCUCCCCCUCCCCACUCUGCAGCUUUGUUCUCCCUCCUCUGGGCAGGCAGCCUGGACCGGGGACACAGGACAGGCGGGGCUGCGGCUGGGGGGACCCUGGGGCAGGCAGUGGGUGGCCUUCAUGUCUAACCCCAAGACCCCCAGACAGGCACAGGGUGGUCAGUGACUGA